rnacentral:rRNA from 1 species
CAGCAGCCACGGUAAUACAGAGGGUGCAAGCGUUAAUCGGAAUUACUGGGCGUAAAGCGCGCGUAGGUGGUUCGCCAAGUUGGAUGUGAGAUCCCCGGGCUCAACCUGGGAACUGCAUCCAAAACUGGCGAGCUAGAGUAUGGUAGAGGGUGGUGGAAUUUCCUGUGUAGCGGUGAAAUGCGUAGAUAUAGGAAGGAACAUCAGUGGCGAAGGCGACCACCUGGACUGAUACUGACACUGAGGUGCGAAAGCGUGGGGAGCAAACAGGAUUAGAUACCCGGGUAGUCCCUGUCUCUUAUAC